GACAAGGUGACAGGGGUCGGUGACCUUUGGCAGUUAAGGAGAGAAGAAUGGAGCCUAAGACCUGAGUGCCCCUGGAGUGACAAACAGUGGGAAGUCUGACUCCGUACCAUGUACAGUGCUUCAAGCCUGGAAAAUCAUAUACAAUAUGCUGGGGAUGGAAGUCAGAGCUUGCACUUUGCCACUGAGUUAUACCUCAGCCGUGGAGCUGAUUUUUAUACCAUCAGAUCGGCAAGAAUUAUUGCACGGGCAGCACCCAGCGCCACAUAUUAGGACAUUAACGGGGCUCACACAGGACAGAGGCAUUUGAUUCCAGUUUGAAGCUAUCCUGGAUAAAGCUUCUAUGGGCUUCUAGAAUGGGCUAAUAGACUGGAGGUGUAGCUAGCGGUAAACAGCUUGUCUCCCAGGUGUGAGGUCCUGGCUUCAAUCCCAAGUGCUGUGAAAAAUAAUAAUAAAAAAAAUAAUGUUAUGGACAUUAACCAGGACUUUAAGGAAUGUCUUUCCUAUUAUUAAACUGCCUCAGAAUUUUC
rnacentral:lncRNA from 1 species